rnacentral:rRNA from 1 species
AGCGUAGGCGGGAUGGCAAGUCAGAUGUGAAAACUAUGGGCUCAACCCAUAGACUGCAUUUGAAACUGUUGUUCUUGAGUGAGGUAGAGGUAAGCGGAAUUCCUGGUGUAGCGGUGAAAUGCGUAGAGAUCAGGAGGAACAUCGGUGGCGAAGGCGGCUUACUGGGCCUUUACUGACGCUGAGGCUGAAAGCUGGGGAGCAAACA